rnacentral:rRNA from 1 species
GACGAACGCUGGCGGCGUGCUUAACACAUGCAAGUCGAACGAAGUGGCGAACGGGUGAGUAAUACGUGGGUAACCUGCCCUCCUUUUUGGGAUAAGCCUUGGAAACGGGGUCUAAUACCGAAUAAAGGGGGAUGGGCUCGCGGCCUAUCAGCUUGUUGGUGGGGUGAUGGCCUACCAAGGCGGUGACGGGUAGCCGGCCUGAGAGGGUGAACGGCGACAUUGGGACGGUGAUACGGCCCAGACGAGGACGCGAUGGAGAAGUGGGGGAUAUUGCACAAUGGGCGAAAGCUUGAUGCAGCGACGCCGCGUGGGGGAUGAAGGCUUUCGGGUUGUAAAACUCUUUAGCUAUCGAACGGGUAGCUGGAGAAGAAGCGCCGGCUAACUACGUGCCAGCAGCCGCGGUAAUAC